AUUGAACGCUGGCGGCAGGCCUAACACAUGCAAGUCGAGCGGAUGAAGGGAGCUUGCUCCUGGAUUCAGCGGCGGACGGGUGAGUAAUGCCCAGGAAUCUGCCUGGUAGUGGGGGAUAACGUCCGGAAACGGGCGCUAAUACCGCAUACGUCCUGAGGGAGAAAGUGGGGGAUCUUCGGACCUCACGCUAUCAGAUGAGCCUAGGUCGGAUUAGCUAGUUGGUGGGGUAAAGGCCUACCAAGGCGACGAUCCGUAACUGGUCUGAGAGGAUGAUCAGUCACACUGGAACUGAGACACGGUCCAGACUCCUACGGGAGGCAGCAGUGGGGAAUAUUGGACAAUGGGCGAAGGCCUGAUCCAGCCAUGCCGCGUGUGUGAAGAAGGUCUUCGGAUUGUAAAACACUUUAAGUUGGGAGGAAGGGCAGUAAGUUAAUACCUUGCUGUUUUGACGUUACCAACAGAAUAAGCACCGGCUAACUUCGUG
rnacentral:rRNA from 1 species